rnacentral:rRNA from 1 species
CUGUACCUCUUUUAUCAGGAAAAAUCUGACGGUAUUGAUAAUAACCACGGCUAAUUCCGUGCCAGCAGCCGCGGUAAUACGGGAGUGGCAAGCGUUAUCCGGAAUUAUUGGGCGUAAAGCGUCCGCAGGCGGUCUUGUAAGUCUGUCGUUAAAGCGUGGAGCUUAACUCCAUUUGAGCGAUGGAAACUGCAAGACUAAGAGUGUGGUAGGGGCAGAGGGAAUUCCCGGUGUAGCGGUGAAAUGCGUAGAUAUCGGGAAGAACAACCAGUGGCGAAGGCGCUCUUGCUGGGCCAUAACUGACGCUCAUGGACGAAAGCCAGGGGAGCGAAAGGGGAAUUAGAUAACCCCAUGNUAGGUCCUGGCACGUAAACGAUGAGACACUGAGGGUGGUCAGGGGGAGCAAUUCGACACCCCGUCGUGUGUCAGUAGCCAAACGCGUUUAAGGUUGUUUCCCGGCCUGGGGGGAGGUUACGCCACGCAUGGUGUGAAACUCAGAAGGGAAUUGCACGGGAGGCCCCAGCACAUAAGCGCGUGGGACGUAUAGUUGGUUAUAGAUUCCGAUUUGCAACGCGAAAGAACCUGUACCAGGGGUUUGACAUUCCU